rnacentral:rRNA from 1 species
UACGAAGGGGCUAGCGUUGCUCGGAAUCACUGGGCGUAAAGGGUGCGUAGGCGGGUCUUUAAGUCAGGGGGGAAAUCCUGGAGCUCAACUCCAGAACUGCCUUUGAUACUGAGGAUCUUGAGUUCGGGAGAGGUGAGUGGAACUGCGAGUGUAGAGGUGAAAUUCGUAGAUAUUCGCAAGAACACCAGUGGCGAAGGCGGCUCACUGGCCCGAUACUGACGCUGAGGCACGAAAGCGUGGGGAGCAAACAGG